UACGGGGGGGGCAAGCGUUGUUCGGAAUUACUGGGCGUAAAGGGCUCGUAGGCGGCCAACUAAGUCGGAUGUGAAAUCCCCAGGCUUAACCUGGGAACUGCAUCCGAUACUGGAUGGCUUGAAUCCGGGAGAGGGAUGCAGAAUUCCAGGUGUAGCGGUGAAAUGCGAAGAUAUCUGGAGGAAUACCGGUGGCGAAGGCGGCAUCCUGGACCGGCAUUGACGCUGAGGAGCGAAAGCCAGGGGAGCAAACGGG
rnacentral:rRNA from 1 species